rnacentral:rRNA from 1 species
UACGAAGGGGGCUAGCGUUGUUCGGAAUCACUGGGCGUAAAGCGCACGUAGGCGGAUCUUUAAGUCAGGGGUGAAAUCCCGAGGCUCAACCUCGGAACUGCCUUUGAUACUGGGGAUCUCGAGUCCGGGAGAGGUGAGUGGAACUGCGAGUGUAGAGGUGAAAUUCGUAGAUAUUCGCAAGAACACCAGUGGCGAAGGCGGCUCACUGGCCCGGUACUGACGCUGAGGUGCGAAAGCGCGGGGAGCAAACAGG